GAGGAGGGACCAGAGAGGCAGGCAGUUCAGCUGUUGUUGGCCCAAGCUUGACUGGCCGUGGAAUACCAGCCCCUUACUGCUAGCCCAGCGUGGGUCCCUAUGUCCCCAAAGCCCACAGCAGAAUUUCUGGCGUGGAUUACAGAGUGUCCUUGGGAGAAUGACUAUGACAGAAGGAGCUGGAUACAGUUCUCUUGCAGGAUCUCCUUCCCAGCCUUCAGAAAUUGCCGGUCUGGGAGUUGGGGGCAAGGAGAAGAUCCUGAAUUAGACCUUUACGAGAAGCACAGUUUUGUCUUCAGUUUCCUCUCCCCCCACCCGGAAUGGCCUGAGCCGAAGCCAGCUCCCUCCGAGAAGUCAUUACCGCCUGACUUGCGUUUGAUAUUUAGACACCUUGGUCACAACAUCUUGCAUUCUCUCGGGAUGCUGAUUUCUAACUGCUCUUUGGCCUUUCCUGCAUUGGUCCUCCUCAGGCAGGGGAUCCCUGCUCUUCUAUAUUAGUGAGAAAACCAAGGCUCAGAGAAACUGUGGAUUUUCUAAGGAUGCUGGCUCCCCGUCCCCUGUCCACCAUGAGUCAAAGCAAUGUGAGUCCCUCACCAGAUGCAACUGCCCAGUCUUGGACUUUCCAGUGACCAGAAUCAUGAGCCAAAUAAACCUCUUUUCUUUAUGAAUUACCCAGCCUCAAGUAUUCUGUUAUAGCAAAACAAAACAGACAAAGACAGUUUACCUACUUACUUACUAACUCAGGAAAUAUUUUUGAGCAUCUAUUAUGUGGAUUACACCACAAAAG
rnacentral:lncRNA from 1 species